rnacentral:rRNA from 1 species
ACCGGUAACAAUUCCCGCAGGGAUACACCCGUUCCCAUUCCGAACACGGCAGUUAAGCCUGCGCGGGCCGAUGGUACUAACGCCCAAUUCGGCGUUGGGAGAGUAGGUGUUGCCGAUC